CGAAAUCUCCAGUUGUCGAGUUGUAUGCUAAAGGAUCUGGGAACCCAUUGCAUUAUUGUCCCAAGAGAACUACCAUUAUAGGAUUAAUGGAAAGGUGUCACGACCUUCAGUAAUGAGGAAUACGACUAUAGACUAUACAUCUAGUGAUUCCAUGGGGUCCCUGCGACUCGUUUGAUAUCAUCUGUGCACCUAUAGUGGACUAGACCUACGCUGCCCUUUCCGGUGCAAGGUUGCUAUUCUUGCCCCUAAGGACCCCAAUGUUUUUGAACUAAGUAUGCUCUGCCCAUUGCUACUUCAGCAUGGUAACCUGUUGAGCUAUGCCGGUCACCCUGGCAUAUUUUAAUUAUGAAA